UACAGAGGGGGCGAGCGUUGUUCGGAAUUACUGGGCGUAAAGGGCGCGUAGGCGGCCAACUAAGUCAGACGUGAAAUCCCCAGGCUCAACCUGGGAACUGCGUCUGAUACUGGAUGGCUUGAAUCCGGGAGAGGGAUGCAGAAUUCCAGGUGUAGCGGUGAAAUGCGUAGAUAUCUGGAGGAAUACCGGUGGCGAAGGCGGCAUCCUGGACCGGCAUUGACGCUGAGGAGCGAAAGCCAGGGGAGCAAACGGG
rnacentral:rRNA from 1 species